ensembl:lncRNA
GUGUCAAAGUUCCUCAUUUUGGGCAAGUACAAAUUAAUAAGGUAGAGCAACAUAGACUUCCCAUAAAGGGAGAAAUGUGCUAAAGCUUUGUUUUUGCACCCUACUCCUGUUCCCUGUGUUUGUCUUCGGAUCACGUUGCCAGAUCCGUUGUGUGAGAAGUGGGCUUGGCUUCGGUCUCUCUGCAGGAGCAGCGACACAAAACCUGGCAGUCCGGACGAAAAGCAAGUGGAGUCAAGGCUGGUUCUCACCCUCAUGUUGUGAUUGUUAUAUUUCAGCAAUGCUGACUGAACCAUUCGAAACACUGGGACACAUCAUUUCCAACGAAUCGAACGUUUAGCAAUUGAAAUGAUGUUCCUCCCUCGCGAGGCCCGGGAGGCAUUGUGACUGUGACAGCCCGCUCGCGGGUCGGCGUGCCAGUGGAAAACUACUGUCUGUCAGGACCACACGCACACAGACCUGCCGUGCAGGUUUGCGUUGAGUGGUGCUGGUGGGCGGGUGCGGUGAAGGGAGGAGGGGUCAUCAAGUCAUAACACUACGCUGCUCGGACCUUUUGAUAGUGCCUUUUACCGUAAAAAACAGAAAAAGGAAACACUCGUUUUCUCGUUUUUCGUUUUAAAUCCAAAAGGAGAAAACGGAAGUGGACAGUCGUUUUCUCGUUUUUUGUUUAGAACCAAAAAACGAGACAAACUCACAACUUUUUACUCCGUUAAUCCCUUUGGGGGUUUUGCCAAUAAAACGAAAAUACGAAGCGGCGCCGCUAAACCGGAAGUACGUCGAUUUUCACAGUAAGAGUCAACGCAAUGGAACGUGUUUAUGCUAGAAAUGCAAUUUCAACAAUUAAAUUGUCGCAAUCUACAGCACACAGAAAUGCAAAUGCAUACAUUCUGCUACUACACAACAGGUUUAUUGUUUAACUGUGUAUUGUGUGUGCAUUUUCAACACAGACAGGGUACACACAUGUAUACACACAUACAUAUAGACACAUACAUACCCAUAGGCACAAAGAGAAAUGGGGGGGAGGAAAAGGAGAGAAUAAAAAAAUCAAAAAAAUAAAGGGGAGGGUCUGGAUGGCUCUGUACUUUCUAUAACGAAAUCAAUCCUCAGGCAACGUUCAUGUGCUCUUCUCAUAUACUGUCGUUGAUGUGUUGAACUUCUACCAGCAUUUCUGAGACUCUUGCGCCGCUCUGUGUCCAGCUAAAGGCAUCGCCCCUGCUUCCAUCCCUGUGCAGCAUAUCACAUUGUCUAUUAUUGUGUCUACAUUGUCUACGUGGGGACGGCGAGACGAAUCACUGAGAAGCAAUGAGGAUCUCUGGGACUUGAGGACAGCUGUGCAGGCUAGCAUGGGGUUUGCGUAUGCGUCAUCAUUUAAUGAAAGGGAAAGGGUAAUAAGAGUUCACCAAGAAUCAAAAUGACAUAAGUGUUGAAAAAUAAAUAAGAAAAAUUGUAUUUAACCAUGACGUGUUGUAGUUAUCUUUUUGGAUUAAAGUUGUUUUUAAGUUAAUUCAAAAAAGAUUUAACGUAUAAUGUAUAAAACACGUAUUGAAUGAGUUGAGAGAAUACAUGGCAAUGCUUUUAGUAAUCGAUUAAGUACUUAAUAAUCGUUUCAAUCAUCUAGUAUGUGAUGAUUUGCUGCUAUUUUCGCCAUACUUGGUCCCCUGAGUAUUUUUGUAUUUCACAAGAUAUUAAAACACAUUGUCUAAGAUUUCUCCUUUUGUAAACAUGUAUGGGUACAACUAGUUAAGAGUCAUGAAUCCAUAUGUCCUCAAGUUUAGCGAAGUACCAUCACAGCCUGACGUCUUCAAAUUGCUUUCUAUAUUGCUCAAUUCGUAGAUUCAUCAAAAUAGUUGGCGAGUCGAUUUCUGUUGAUUGACUAAUCAAUGAAUCUUUAAAGAAUUAAUAAAUGUGACGGAUGAUGUGACCCGAAGACCGACAAAUGGAGCGUUCGACCAGGAGGAUGACGUGUAAAUUACUCCGCACCUUUAUAGGUCUAAAGUUUAGACCUAUAUCUUACGGAGGUUUUCAAUCUGGAGAGUUUAGACUCUAAACUCUUGUGAAGAUUGAAAGGCUUUCAUAGUUAACGAUACUUUCCGAGGGUCGGAUGCAGAUACGCGAGCCGCCGUGACCGUUUGCCAGCGCGUUAGACGCCAAAGUCACGUGACUUAACCUGUGACGCAUUCGGUGCACACGUCUCCGAAGCUGGAUGGAAAAACAGGUGGCGCAUAGAAUGUUAUGACGUCACACAAAGAUGAAAGGGAAGGGAACGCGUCACAGCCUACGUCAAAGAGUUCUUAAGGCUCCAGAAGGCAUCUUGGAUGCAUUCUUACUUUGGACAACCAACAGAGUGGACGUGUUUGAAGACUUCCAAGCGUCAUGGCAAAAUCACAAUUCCGUGAACUGAGGCUUCUAUGGGAGGAAUCGGCAAAAAUUGAUCUGCACUUGGGAACAAUAAUCCUGAGAAACGUUGACGAGAAACAUCUAAAUCAGCCAAGGAUUUCUAAACUGGAGGCAGAUGUUGAAGUGCUACUUGAGGAACACCGAACUAUGAAGAACCAGAUCCUGAUCGGUGAGAGGGUCCUCAUCAACGUCACUGAACGUCUUUCUACAACAAUUGAUGACCUUCAGAAUCAAGUUGAAAGAUGGGACAGAAAAUUCUCGGAGCGAGAUGAGGAAAUGGAACUACUUAAACAGACCAAUGACCAAUGUCUGUCAGAGAUCCAACAAUUCAGACUGCAGGAAAUACAGGUAGAUAGCAGAGAGGAAUUCAUAAUCUAUGUUGAAGACCCAGACUCAUCUGAGUAUUACAGUGACGAAGGGUUCCUCUCAGAGACGGAUGAGACAGAGGAGACACCGGUUGGGGCCAGAAGUUGGUGGUCUGACCUCGCCAAAACUGUGGUGACAGUAGGAUGUAUUGUUGGCAUCGGCAUCGGGUUAAUGGAGCAUUAUAGGACAAAGGAUUAGCACUUUAAUGCCUAACAGCUGCAGUUCAGACUUGAAUUACAGCCAGUCAAACUGCCUCCUCAGGCUGCCAGACCAAUUCUUUUGCCAGAGCAAUUCUUUUAUGUCCAAUACACCUCAUCGCACCUCGUCCCUUCUAAUCAGGUAAAAAUACUGUCACCAAAUAUCACUAUAUUUAAAUAUGGCUAUUGGUUUAUUCAAAAGACAGAUGCAAUCAACUGCAACUCAGCAGAUGAACAAAAUAAGACAUCCCCUUCUAGCAGGUUUUUGCAUGUAUGUGUGGUUGUUUGCCGCCAUAUGUACCUGUGAGUGUGAAUGAAGACCUCAAACCCAACGUGAACUGUGAAGAUUCAUGUUAAGUUAGAGGUAAAGAGAGUGAAUUUAUAUUUGUAUAUACAAUUGUAUGUAUGUAUGUGGGAAUGUGAAUGAUGACAUAUCGCCCAGUGUGAACUGUAAAAGUCAUCAUCAAACCUAUGUAGGUUUUUCAUUUAUGUGAUCUGUGAUAGCUCAUAUUGAGUGAGAGGUAAAGAUAAUGCAUUUAUAUUUGUUUGUUUGUAUGUGUGAAUGUGAGUGUGAAUGAGGACCUCAAACCCAAUGUGACCUGUGAUGGUUCAUGUUAAGUUAGAGGUAAAGAUAAUGCAUUUAUAUUUGUUUGUUUGUUUGUGUGUGAAUGAGGACCUCGAACCCGAUGUGAACUGUGAUGGUUCAUGUUAAGUUAGAGGUAAAGAUAAUGCAUUUAUAUUUGUUUGUUUGUAUGUGUGAAUGUGAGUGUGAAUGAGGACCUCAAACCCUACGUGAACUGUGAUGGUUCACGUUAGGUGAGAGGUGUAGAUAAUUCAUGUAUAUAUAUAU